GCGCUCACUUUGGCAGCACAUAUACUAAAAUUGGAACAAUACAGAGAUGAGCAUGGCCCUGUGCAAGGGUGACAUGCAAAUUCGUGAAGCUUCCACAUUUUUU